rnacentral:rRNA from 1 species
UACGAAGGGUGCAAACGUUGCUCGGAAUUACUGGGCGUAAAGGGCUCGUAGGCGGCCAACUAAGUCAGACGUGAAAUCCCUCGGCUUAACCGGGGAACUGCGUCUGAUACUGGAUGGCUGGAGUUUGGGAGAGGGAUGCGGAAUUCCAGGUGUAGCGGUGAAAUGCGUAGAUAUCUGGAGGAACACCGGUGGCGAAGGCGGCAUCCUGGACCAACACUGACGCUGAGGAGCGAAAGCCAGGGGAGCAAACGGG